UGGGGAAUAUUGGACAAUGGGGGGAACCCUGAUCCAGCCAUGCCGCGUGUGUGAAGAAGGCCUUUUGGUUGUAAAGCACUUUAAGCAGUGAAGAAGACUCUUCGGUUAAUACCCGGGGACGAUGACAUUAGCUGCAGAAUAAGCACCGGCUAACUCUGUGCCAGCAGCCGCGGUAAUACAGAGGGUGCAAGCGUUAAUCGGAAUUACUGGGCGUAAAGCGAGCGUAGGUGGCUUGAUAAGUCAGAUGUGAAAUCCCCGGGCUUAACCUGGGAACUGCAUCUGAAACUGUUAGGCUAGAGUAGGUGAGAGGGAAGUAGAAUUUCAGGUGUAGCGGUGAAAUGCGUAGAGAUCUGAAGGAAUACCGAUGGCGAAGGCAGCUUCCUGGCAUCAUACUGACACUGAGGCUCGAAAGCGUGGGUAGCAAACAGGAUUAGAUACCCUGGUAGUCCACGCCGUAAACGAUGUCUACUAGUCGUUGGGUCCCUUGAGGACUUAGUGACGCAGCUAACGCAAUAAGUAGACCGCCUGGGGAGUACGGCCGCAAGGUUA
rnacentral:rRNA from 1 species